rnacentral:rRNA from 1 species
CCUACGGGAGGCAGCAGUGGGGAAUAUUGGGCAAUGGGCGCAAGCCUGACCCAGCAACGCCGCGUGAAGGAAGAAGGCUUUCGGGUUGUAAACUUCUUUUCUCAGGGACGAAGCAAGUGACGGUACCUGAGGAAUAAGCCACGGCUAACUACGUGCCAGCAGCCGCGGUAAUACGGAGGUGGCAAGCGUUAUCCGGAUUUACUGGGUGUAAAGGGCGUGUAGGCGGGAAAGCAAGUCAGAUGUGAAAACCAUGGGCUCAACCUGUGGCCUGCAUUUGAAACUGUUUUUCUUGAGUACUGGAGAGGCAGACGGAAUUCCUUGUGUAGCGGUGAAAUGCGUAGAUAUAAGGAGGAACACCAGUGGCGAAGGCGGUCUGCUGGACAGCAACUGACGGUGAGGCGCGAAAGCGUGGGGAGCAAACAGGAUUAGAUACCCCUGUAGUC